rnacentral:rRNA from 1 species
AACGAACGCUGGCGGCAUGCCUAACACAUGCAAGUCGAACGGGAUCCUAGCUUGCUAGGUGAGAGUGGCGGACGGGUGAGUAACACGUGGGAAUCUGCCUUUUGGUUCGGGAUAACCGCGGGAAACUGCGGCUAAUACCGAAUGCCCUCGAGAGAGGAAAGAUUUAUCGCCAGAAGAGGAGCCCGCGUCCGAUUAGGUAGUUGGUGGGGUAAAGGCCUACCAAGCCGACGAUCGGUAGCUGGUCUGAGAGGAUGAUCAGCCACACUGGGACUGAGAUACGGCCCAGACUCCUACGGGAGGCAGCAGUGGGGAAUAUUGGACAAUGGGGGCAACCCUAGAUCCAGCAAUGCCGCGUGAGUGAUGAAGGCCUUAGGUUGUAAAGCUCUUUGCCAGGGAAGAUGAUGACUGUACCUGGAGAAUAAGCCCGGCUAACUUCGUGCCAGCAGCCGCGGUAAU